UUAACGGCCGCAGAAACCUAACUGUGCUAAGGUAGCUUAAUUUCUUGCCUUAUAAUUGAAGGCCAGUGAAUGGUCAAACGAAAGUAAAUUUGUCUCUAUAUACUAUAAUGAAAAUUAAUCUGUAAGUGAAAAAGCUUACAUUCAAUUGAAAGAAGAUAAGACCCUAUAGAGUUUUAUUACAAAAUUAUCUUACGCCGAUUAGCGUAAUAAUUACUUAAAUAAUUUAGUUGGGGCAACUAAGGAGCAGCAUAACCCUCCAAUACAUAAAAAACCACCAAGUACAUGGCCUAAAAAAAUUAACUUACGAAAAAACUACCUUAGGGAUAACAGCGUAAUAUCAUUGGAGAGUACUAAUCAAUAAUGAUGAUUACGACCUCGAUGUUGGAUUAGGAGCGCGUAAAGAUGCAGAAGUCUUAAAGCAGGCCUGUUCGGCCCUUAAACUUCUAC
rnacentral:rRNA from 1 species